rnacentral:RNase_P_RNA from 1 species
GGAGCUGGCCUGGCAAUCGCUGCUUUCGCAAGAAAGGAGAGGAAAGUCCGGGCUCCACAGGGCAGGGUGCCAGAUAACGUCUGGGCGGCGUAAGCCGACGACAAGUGCAGCAGAGAGUAAACCGCCUAAGCGCGCAAGUGCCGGUAAGGGUGAAAGGGUGCGGUAAGAGCGCACCGCACGGCUGGUAACAGUUUGUGGCAAGGUAAACUCCACCCGGAGCAAGACCAAAUAGGCCUUCGAUACGUGCGGCCCGCACGGAAGGCGGGUAGGUUGCUUGAGCCUGUGAGUGAUUGCAGGCCUAGAGGAAUGAUUGCCCAUGACAGAACCCGGCUUAUGGCUGGCUCCACCU